rnacentral:tRNA from 1 species
UGGCUCAGUUGGCAGAGCAUGGUGCUUGCAAAACCAGGGUUGUGGGUUUGAGUCCCAC